rnacentral:lncRNA from 1 species
UUGGUAUUAUAUAUGUAGGUUUUGUGUAUAAGUCCUCGUAAAAUCCUGAACAAGUCGAUCGAUAAAUAUAAUCAGUAACAUAUUUCAGAUGGAAAAUAUAUACUAAAGUAGAAGUAUCUACAAGUAAAAAAAAGAAAGAAAAAAAAAGUAGAAGUAUCCAUAAUAUACACACUACGGCAUACAAUAUCAUUACCUCAAGAGAGAGAGAGAGAAUUGAAGUUGGAGGUUUGUAUGGUGUAUUGCCAAUCAUUUCAGCAGCUGACUUAUGGACCGACAAAUCGGGCUCAAACAAGGGGACCCUGCUGCUUUGUCACACCCAACUUUAAUCUCCAAUUUGAAAAGAAAANAAAAAGGGUAGCAAUUAUUUAAUUAAAUAGUACAUGGGCUAAUUGUGUAGGCAAAUAAAAGCGAUCAAAUUAAGAAAAACCGUUUCUCAUCAAGUGUUGAAUUAACAAUAUAAUUAUGUAAUUUGAUCAAUCUAAUCUGUAUCUCUUUCAACAACUCCCUUAUUAUAUUUUUGACCUUUUGGCACUUAAUUACCUUUAUGCAUUUCCUGUCUCCAUUCUCCUUUUACUUUUUUGCUUUUGUCUGAAUAUAUAUCAUUCAAGAUCCCACAAAUUCUUCUUGUCUUUCUGCACAAUAUAAAUUCACCCAUAAUUGUGCUCCUCUCCAAUAUCUCUGUAAUUAUUGUUUGCAGAUUUCAUGGAGAUUUUGAAUCCUAAUUCUACUUGCUUGGAACUAUCCAUAGCCAUGCCGGGCUUCUCCUCUUCCCCAUCUUCUUCCGGUGAGACUGCAACCUCUCUCUCUCUCUCCUUCGCUUCUUUGUGUGUGUCAAUUACCUUUUCAAUUUCUUGAAGUUUAAGUUUGAUCAUCAACUUCGAUUCUUCUUUUUCACAUAUAUCCUGUUGACAGAAUUAGGGUUUCUGCGAAAGAAAAAUUUACAUCGGUUUUUUCUUUUGAUGUUAAUUUCUUCUUCUUUUCUAAAGAGGUGUCGACGUCAUAUAUUUUAGGUAUUUUAAUUUCUUGCAUGAUGGUAGCCGAUCACGAAUUGAAGGAGUGAAAUGAAAUCCCUUCUUUUAUUCUCCUAUAUAUAUAUACUUAUUCUACCAAAGUUUUUAUUCUCUGCAUUUUCGCCAAAAAAAAAAAAAAAAAAAAGAGUUAUAAUUCUGUGCAUGGUAUAUCUAUAAAAUAGAUGCCUUUUCAAGUUUGAUCCACUAUUUUUGUCGAAUAAGACAAUAUUCUAUAAAUGCCCAAAUUUAACAAGAAAUAUUUGAUAUACGUACAUAUAUAUAAUAUAGAGGCAAAAGGUGAGAUGAAAUUACUGGACAUGAAUGAAGCGCCGUCAAGAUCAGAAGAAGAAUGCGUGGAAGAAGAAGACGAAGACUGCCCAUACGGCGGCGGAGGCCCGAUUCCGAGGAAGAAACUCCGCCUCACAAAAGACCAGUCUCGUCGUCUUGAGCAAAGCUUCCUACAAAAUCAAGCCUUAAACCCCGUACGGAUCGAUCUUGUGUGUGUGUGUGUGUGUGGUUUCUAGAAUGAAUGAAAUCAAUUUCUUACACUGCAGAAAGAGAAGGAGGCUUUGGCAGUGGAAUUGAGAUUGAAGCCAAGGCAAGUGGAGGUGUGGUUUCAGAACCGUAGAGCAAGGUACACUUAU